rnacentral:lncRNA from 12 species
UAGAAACUUCAUUGUAUUAAUGUUUUAAGGUCUCAUUUUCUAGAGGUCUUGGAGUGGAAACACUGCUGUCCAUGGGCCUAACCAUUUGGCUACUCAAUGAGGAAGCUGCCCUGCUGCUUGCUGCAUACCCAGAUACUUGCAAAUCUUCAGGAACUACUCAAGAGGGUAUCAGGCUGAUCAUCUACCAUUGAAGCUUGCUGACCGUCUCUCUAUGAAGAGUGUCAUACAGUGAUUGGCAUAGACCUUCACUGUGCAUACCAUAGAAGUGAUGAGAUUACCUAGACUGGCUUAGGUCAACCAGAACCCGUCUCUGGGAAUGAGGUCAAUCCUAUCAAAUUUCCAUGAAGGUAGGUGAAAUGGCUAUAUCAUUUAUAAUUUUGUAUCAAUUGGCAUCCACAGAUUGUUUUAUUAUUUUUCAGGUAUACUAACUAUACAACUAUUAUUAUCAGUGUUACUGCUGCUUAUAUUAUACUACUAUUACUAUUUUUACACAACGACAAUAUCUUUCUAGGAAAUCGAAAGCAGUUAUAGAUGUAUCGUAUUGUCACUACUUUGUCAAGGACAAUGAGUACACAUUUGAUCUAAUUGCAUUGCAAAAUGGGGUUUCACUCAGUAUAUGUUAGAAUAUAUUUGUCUUUUAACUCAAAAGUUUUUUCCCUCUUUCUUAAUUAAUCCUUGGAACACUGUGAUGGUAUCUUUUCAUGAGAGUUGAAGUGAUUAUUUUCCAACUAAACUUGCCUCUUCUCUUCAUUUACUGAUGGACAGUUUGUCUUGGAAAUUCAUUGAAAUUGAUUUAAUAGAAUAAAAAUGAACGUACUAGAGAAACA